rnacentral:rRNA from 1 species
AGUGAACGCUGGCGGUAGGCCUAACACAUGCAAGUCGAACGGCAGCACAGUAAGAGCUUGCUCUUACGGGUGGCGAGUGGCGGACGGGUGAGGAAUACAUCGGAAUCUACUUUUUCGUGGGGGAUAACGUAGGGAAACUUACGCUAAUACCGCAUACGACCUACGGGUGAAAGCAGGGGAUCUUCGGACCUUGCGCGAUUGAAUGAGCCGAUGUCGGAUUAGCUAGUUGGCGGGGUAAAGGCCCACCAAGGCGACGAUCCGUAGCUGGUCUGAGAGGAUGAUCAGCCACACUGGAACUGAGACACGGUCCAGACUCCUACGGCAGGCAGCAGUGGGGAAUAUUGGACAAAGGGCGCAAGCCUGAUCCAGCCAUACCGCGUGGGUGAAGAAGGCCUUCGGGUUGUAAAGCCCUUUUGUUGGGAAAGAAAAGCAGCAGGUUAAUACCCCGCUGUUCUGACGGUACCCAAAGAAUAAGCACCGGCUAACUUCGUG